ensembl:ncRNA C02B4.7 ncRNA
UGAUGACGUGAACAGUCAAUGUGAAAGGAAGUGUAGAAGGAAAUGGUCAGAAGGAGAAAAGAAAGAAGAAAAAGCAUGAAAAGUAAAGAAGGGAUGUUUCGUCAGAUGAACAGUUUGUUCAGCUGACGCAAAACUACUACGUGUACACGUAAACGAUGUGAAGUAAGAAAAUGGCGAAAAAGGGAAAGGAGAAGCAAGAGUUGUAUUUUUUC